CCUCCUCGAUCUGCUGCGGGCAGAUGUAGUGGAUGUGGCUGUCGAAGCCGCCCGCGGUCAGGAUCUUGCCCUCGCCGGCGAUCACCUCGGUGCCCGGCCCGACCACGAUGGUGACGCCGUCCUGGAUGUCCGGGUUGCCGGCCUUGCCGAGGGCCGCGAUCCGCCCGCCCUUGAGCCCGACAUCGCACUUCACGAUGCCCCAAUGGUCGAGCACGACCGCGUUGGUGAUCACCGUGUCGACGGCGCCCGCUUGGUUGCUCGCCUGGGCCUGGCCCAUCCCGUCGCGGAUG
rfam:Methylobacterium sp. 4-46, complete genome.